rnacentral:rRNA from 1 species
UACGAAGGGGGCUAGCGUUGCUCGGAAUCACUGGGCGUAAAGCGCACGUAGGCGGAUCCUUAAGUCGGGGGUGAAAUCCUGGAGCUCAACUCCAGAACUGCCUUCGAUACUGAGGAUCUCGAGUCCGGGAGAGGUGAGUGGAACUGCGAGUGUAGAGGUGAAAUUCGUAGAUAUUCGCAAGAACACCAGUGGCGAAGGCGGCUCACUGGCCCGAUACUGACGCUGAGGCACGAAAGCGUGGGGAGCAAGCAGG